CAAAAACAUGUCUUUUUGAUUAUGAUUUAAGAUCUUACCUGCCCAAUGAUUAUUUUAAUGGCCGCAGUAUCUUGACUGUGCAAAGGUAGCAUAAUCAUUAGUUUUUUAAUUGAAAGCUGGAAUGAAUGGUUUGAUGAAAAAUUUACUGUCUCAGUAUGAUUGUUUUAUAAUUUUAUUUUUAAGUGAAAAAGCUUAAAUGUUUUAAAAAGACGAGAAGACCCUAUAGAGUUUAACAUAAGUACUUAAAAAGAAUUAUUAGAAUUAGUAUUAUUUUUGUAUUUUAUGUUUUAUUGGGGUGAUAUAAAAAUUUGUAAAACUUUUUAUUUAUUAAGUCAUUUAUUUAUGAUUAUUUGAUCUUUUAUUUUGGAUUAUAAGAACAAAUUACCUUAGGGAUAACAGCGUAAUUUUUUUGAAAAGUUCUUAUUAAUAGAAAAGGUUGCGACCUCGAUGUUGGAUUAAAAUUAAAUUUUGGUGCAAAAGCUAAAACUUUAGGUCUGUUCGACCUUUAAAAUUUUACAUGAUCU
rnacentral:rRNA from 1 species